rnacentral:rRNA from 1 species
CCCUUAGAUGUUCUGGGCCGCACGCGUGCUACACUGAGUGGAUCAGCGGGUCAGGUUGCGCGAAAGUGUUUCCUAAUCUUUAAAUCCGCUCGUGAUGGGGAUUGACGGUUGCAAUUUUCCGUCAUGAACGAGGAAUACCUUGUAAGCGCGGGUCAUCAUCCCGCGCUGAAUACGUCCCUGCCCUUUGUACACACCGCCCGUCGCUCCUACCGAUUGAGUGGUUCGGUGAGGCUUUGGGAUCUGAGCGGAAAGAGCGUUUCGCUGUUUCUGCCCGGAAAACUCAGUCGAACCUUAUCAUUUAGAGGAAGGAGAAGUCGUAACA